GUCCGCUAACGAGCGCGAACCCUCGCUGUGUGUUAUAUGUGUCACACGGGACUGCCGGUCUUAAGCCGGAGGAAGGUGGGGAUGAUGUCAAGUCAGCAUGGCCUUUAUAUCCUGGGCUACACACACGCUACAAUGGCCAACACAAUAGGUUGCUAAGCCGCGAGGUGGCGCCAAUCCAUAAAGUUGGUCUCAGUUCAGAUUGCAGUCUGCAACUCGACUGCAUGAAGCCGGAGUUGCUAGUAACCGCAGGUCAGCAAUACUGCGGUGAAUACGUUCCCGGGUCUU
rnacentral:rRNA from 1 species